AACAGCGGCAGAGAGUGCGCCGAGUUGCGACAGACCAGCGCGAUAACGACCCGGGGAGCGAGGAUCGGAGACUCGGGGCUCCAGCGCUCCUCGGGGAAAUAGCCCCAGCUCCGGCCCGGCAGGAGAACGAACAGCAAGGAGGAAGCCGGAGUCAACCUUCAGGCACACGGAGAGCAUGCUCGGAGAAUCCCAACUGGGAUUUGAAUCAGGAACCUUCUAGCUCUGAGGCAACGUUUGCACCAUUGUGCUAAGAACAUGCACAGAUCAGGCAUAAGAUUAUGACCACCUGUCUAACACUGAGUGGCCCUUUUCAGACUCAUUCAAAUCCUUACACUUGACAAUUUUUUCCUGCUUUUAAUGCAUCAGCUUUGAGAAGAAGAAAAAAACGUCGACUUGAUCCCUAAUAUAACCCACCCAUUAACAGGUGCCAUGAUGAAGAGAUAAUCAGUGUUAUUCACCCAUCAGUGGUCAUAAUGUUAUGCCUGAUGCGUGUAUUAUAGUCUCUUUUCUUCUGGUAGUGUAAUUAAUGUGCAUUUUACAACCUAAAUAAAUGUACAUGACCUUUAUGUACAAGACUUUACAUAUUUAUGUUUUUCUUUUUCUAGGGAAAUUGAAUAGAAACAUGCAAAGGAUAUAAUUUUAGAGGUCAAAGCCUCUACUGUGCCGCCAUGUAGUUCCUUCAUGGCUCAUUGCCUUCAUCAAGGACUGAGAGCAUAUGUUUUUCUGAGUUUUUAGAGCGGGCUCCUUGUCUGCUCUGUCAAACAUGAUGCUUGGCAUGAGUUUUUCAGAUUCUGAUUAAGAGCCUUCAGAGGUUUGGCUGGGCUUCUGCUGGCAGUCACAAUGACGGAGCAGCUUGUCAUGCACUGGUUCAGAGACACCAGAGCUGGAGCUGUGGGGGAUGUUGGGAUUGACAUGGAGAUGCACAAACUGCUGUGGGACUGUCUCAUCUCAGCAUGAAAACAAAAUGUAGCAUGUAACUGACAGCGUAACAAGUAAUCGGUUCAAGAUAAGCACGGCACACUUAUUCUUAAACCAGAAACAACUCCUUAAGUCUGACUUAGACUAAAAAUUACAUAUACCUUUUUUGGAUAUGAGAAGUCAGGAUGUCUCUUAGGAUGAAUUCAAAGAUAGUACAGGGAUAAAGAGAGCUUUUUCAAGCUGAUACCUGGAAUCAUAGCAGGUCAGAUAAUAAAACCAUAUUAAUUUAUUACAAGAAUAUUAAUAAUUUUGAUGUGAGAAGGGAAUUAAGCAGCUUACACACAUAAAAAUGUAAAGAAAUGCCUGCUCAGUCACACCUUGUGCAAGUACUGGCAGCGAGAUCUACAGGAUCAUUUGCAGAAUUAAUUGAGAUGACAGAGUCAACAGUUCUGUUCCCAGGUGCAGGGUAAAAUGAACAUGCCCAGACAGAAACAGACACAUACAGGGAAAUGUGCAAUAGCUUUGCAUUUUACUCUGUGACAGCACAAUCUGAACAAACUCUGGGGCAUAAAACUCACAAUUAAUCUCACCUUAUUACACACCUUAAUCACUCUGUCUUUGAUCCUGCACAGCACUGCUGUGAUCAGAGACCGAGCUCCAAAAUAUCGCAGCACACAUAUUAACCCCGUGGAAAGAAAUAAGAGUGACGGGAUAGGAAAACCAAUGUGAUGGCAUUUUAAAAAUGCUUUUAUUUGCAUUACUUUACUGGGUAUACAAAAUGUUUCAUUAAUUAGCUUUGGGGAGAGCAUUCUGAGUGGGCUUCCUGUGUGUCCAGUAGUGUCUCUUAGCCUUCUGCUGACAAAUCCAACCUACACUGCCGCAUGCAAGAUCCAUCUGCUCCAAGUCAAAGGUGUCAGCAUUUCAGAUAACAACACUUAAAUUUUACCCUUCAAUAAUUCAGCAAACUGCACUGUGAGUAAGCCACCAAUUCUAUCAGCUCAUAUCAGAGCUAUGCAGUUGGUUUAAAUAGCAUAAAAACUACCUAUAGGCUUUAUAAAACAUGGCAUUAACAUGGUUUAAAAAGAAAAGCAUACAUCAACUUCCAUUAAAAUACUCUAUGCAUCUAAGGGCAUGCACGAUACUUCACAUUCCAUACUGUGUUUAUACCUUUGCAUGGCUGCCGGGUUAAAAAGUGAAGUCGGGUAAAGAAAUUGAGGAAUCACCUCUUUCGUCACCUAAAGAAAAUAAGAUUCGUGCUUUUGUUGUUUUCUUUGUUAAUGUAAGACAAAAUCUGCAAAAUUCUUUACACUGGUUUGAUUUGUGAGCAUAAUCCAGUGACAUU